rnacentral:rRNA from 1 species
UAGUCCACGCCGUAAACGAUGUCAACUAGCCGUUGGGAGACUUGAUCUCUUAGUGGCGCAGCUAACGCGAUAAGUUGACCGCCUGGGGAGUACGGCCGCAAGGUUAAAACUCAAAUGAAUUGACGGGGGCCCGCACAAGCGGUGGAGCAUGUGGUUUAAUUCGAUGCAACGCGAAGAACCUUACCAAGACUUGACAUCCUGCGAACUUUCUAGAGAUAGAAUGGUGCCUUCGGGAACGCAGUGACAGGUGCUGCAUGGCUGUCGUCAGCUCGUGUUGUGAAAUGUUGGGUUAAGUCCCGUAACGAGCGCAACCCUUGUCCUUAGUUGCUAGCAGGUUAAGCUGAGAACUCUAAGGAGACUGCCGGUGACAAACCGGAGGAAGGUGGGGACGACGUCAAGUCAUCAUGGCCCUUACGUCUUGGGCUACACACGUGCUACGAUGGGGAGUACAGAGGGUUGCCAAGCCGCGAGGUGGAGCCAAUCCCUUAAAACUUCUCGUAGUCCGGA